ensembl:lncRNA
CUCCGUAAAGACGAAGCCAAGCGAAACCGGGUAGAUCUGUAGAAACGCUGUAGUACACAUUCCAGGCCCAUAAGGGGCGCUGCUUCUGGUACAGAAAUCCAGAAGAAAUGAAAUAAGAAGAAGAGGCGAGCAUGCGCAUAAAGGCUGCCCCCCGAACCACUAACAACACAAACAAACAGCUCUUCUACGAUAGCGAACGCGAAGAAAGUAGAGAUAUUUGUCUGGUCUGACCAUGAGUGCGAGAUGCUGUUGCGGCUCACAUUAGAGUAUAAAGUAAGUAAAUUGCAACAGAAUGUCGACGGGGAGUCCUGCUAGUCCAAAUAUACAGACUUGUUGAAGGCAAUCCAGGACCAGUAUCCCAAGGAGGCAGCUGAAGACUUCCCUCACGAUGCAAUGGCCAUUACGAAAUCGCAGCUCACGAGCAAGCUCAAGAACAUCCGUUCUAAAUACCGAGGGGCAGUGGACACAGGGCGUCGAAGUGGCCAAGGGCGCGUGGUGAUGCUUUUUUAUGAGCUUUGCCAAGAGAUCUGGGGUGGCUCGCCCGCAACGCGCUGCAUCGAGAGAGCCAUGGAGACUGAUGACCUUUUGGAGUCGCCGGGGUGCUCGACCCCACCAAUGGAGUCGCCAUCGCCACAUUCGGAGGAAUCCAGUGACUGCCUUCCUCCUGCCGUUGUGAAACAGCGCUGACAUUUGCUCCAGGCAAAGCUCGACAGCCACAGAAAGGACCGGCUGAAGAGGAAAGCUCGGCCUGACCCGGUGGCGGAAGCCGAGGAGGACCGCCAAAUGAAGAGGAGGAUGGUGGAGCUGGCUGAGGAGUCUGCAAGAAGCUACGCCGAGAGCUCAUUGCAAUUAAACUCCAACAUUGCCAACAUCUGCAGCACUAUCCAGGACGGCUUUGCCUUGAUGAGGGGAAUUAUGUACCGACCGCCACAACAGACGCAAUAUGUACCCCCCCACAGCGGACAAUACAAUAGCUACCCCUCACCAUACAUGGAAACCACACCACGCCACACCCAACACAACGCCACACCAAUGAGUCAGUUUGCUCCCACGCCAUCGCAAACACGCACCCCAGGGAAUAUACAGGAUUCAUACAGGCGAGCAUUGCUGGAGCUUGACGAUGUGGAGUGAGCACUGUGUACUUUUACUUAAGUUUGCAGUUUAAUACUUUUACUUAUGUUUGCACUAUUUACUUCUUUUACUAGUUCUGUUAUAUUUUGUCUUUUGCGUGUGUCAUUUUUACGUUUGCACUUUUCUACUUUUGCACAUUUUUGACUUAUUUAUUUUGCACUUCAAUAAAAAAAAGAUUUGAAAUUUGCCAUCCUGUUUAUUUUCAACAACACUUUUCAAUGACAGAUUAAUCAUAACU